rnacentral:rRNA from 1 species
GCACAAGCGGUGGAGCAUGUGGUUAAUUCGACGCAACGCGAAGAACCUUACCAGGGCUUGACAUCCCCUGACCGCGUAUGAAAGUACGUUUUCACCCUCGGGUGACAGGGAGACAGGUGGUGCAUGGUUGUCGUCAGCUCGUGUCGUGAGAUGUUGGGUUAAGUCCCGCAACGAGCGCAACCCUCGCCUCUAGUUGCCAGCAUUCGGUUGGGCACUCUAGAGGGACUGCCGGCGACAAGUCGGAGGAAGGUGGGAUGACGUCAAAUCAUCAUGCCCCUUAUGACCUGGGCUACACACGUGCUACAAUGGGCGGUACAAAGGGCUGCGAACCCGCGAGGGGGAGCGAAUCCCAAAAAGCCGCUCUCAGUUCGGAUUGCAGGCUGCAACUCGCCUGCAUGAAGCCGGAAUCGCUAGUAAUCGCGGAUCAGCAUGCCGCGGUGAAUACGUUCCCGGGCCUU